CAUGUUAGUAUUGAGUUGUUGACUUUUUGUGCAGCGAUACUUGAACGACGUGUUCGACCGCCGACAUCUCGUUCUCUUCUGUUUCGUAAACUUCCCAAGAGUUGAGAUACUGGUGGUCACAAUAUAAACCUAUCACACAAUUCGAUUUUCAUUCGACAUCAAACUGCUGGACUAAGUAGGUGCUGGCGAAAUAAUAUUAAUUUGUUUCAUUGUCGGUAAUCUAAACUAAGAAAUUCAUCAUGAGUACUUUAAAUCUUGGAAAUACGUCACUUUACGACCUAUCAUUAAUUGAAAUAUGCCAUAGGUACAAUAAAUGUCUCAGGUACCGGCGAGAAGUACCACUAUUAUGCUAACAAGAAUCCAGUUGAUGCAGGAUGUGAAAUAACUCGAUUUCAUUUAUACGAUAAUUACAAUAUAACCAAUGAGAAAAUUGAAGAAUUUGGAACAACUCAAAAUAUAUUUAUCACAUUUUUGUUUAUAGUACUUAAUUAUAGUAGUUCUGCAUCAUAUUCAGCACAUAAUAAAUGUGGGCGUGGGUAAAUUGAGUCCCAAACAAAAUUACUGUUGUAAAAAAAUGGUGAAUUGAGUCUCUCGUAUAUUAUUAGAUUAGUUUUCAAAAUUACCUAUACGUACAGUCGCACGUGCACCAUUAGUUAUUGCGAGCAUAUAAGCACACCAAUGUCGCGUAUUAAUAAGAUACUUAUCUUAUCGUAUUUAGACGCGAUUACUGUAGACUAAUUUUCAAUAUUACCUAUACGUACAGUCGUGCACCAUUAGUUAUUGCGAGUGUAAAGCACAUCUAUAUCAACUUUAUAAUGAACGUAAUGAAAAGUGAACGUAAUAAAACAAUUUUUAUUUCUAAUGGUUUCAAAUUUCGGUUCCAUGAAAUGUUAAAGAAUGAAGUUCAGCGGUGGAUUUGCUCCUUAAGUACAUGUAAGUGCUUAUAAUUACAUAUAAUAUUUUUUUUAUGUAUAACAGCAAUACUUUAUUAAAUUUUAAAUUAUGUAUAUUAUAUAACAAUAUUAAUUUUAAAUAUAUUCUUCAUAAUUUAAAAAUUAAAUUAUAAACAGCCAUCUACUUAAUCAUUUAUUACUUCAAUUAAUAUUUAAUUCACAAGUUACAUAAAAUAUUUACCUAUUUAUUUAUUUAUUUUAUUAAUUAACGUCCAUCAGAUCAUUAUACAUUAGUAUACAUUAUCUAGUGAAUAUUUGUAAUAUGUAACUAAGUAUCAUACAAAUUAUAAUAUCACAUGCAUGGGCUAAAAAAAGCUAGCUUUAAUCACCUAUUAUGAAUUAAUCAUAUGUUGACUUCUAAUAAACUAUGGUAACUUUGGUUUUGAUUUCGAUUUCAAACGUAAUAAUUAUUUAAAAAAAUUGUUAUUUAUUAAGUAUUGACUUACCUUUGUAGAUCGUAUAACAAAUUUGUCCAUAUUAAAACUACACUACUUUACAAGAGUCGGGUUGUCGAAAGACAAAUAAGUAAUCAACAGAUAUAUUGAUAUGAUUAUUAUUUAUUAUUGACAAAUCUUAAAUGCACUGUACAACCAAAUACGUCAUCGUGGUAUUUCUUAUUUUAUCAUGUUAUCGAUUCCCAUUUCCCAUAGCGGCUAAUCUAAAAAUAGACCGUAUACAAAUCCAUAGAUAAUAAUAUCAUGUUAUCUACAGGCAUUCUGCAACCCGCAUUUUACGACAGUUGGAUUUAAUAAUCAAUAGAAUAAAAUAAUUAUUGCCUACAGGCUGCAUAAAACAAUAAAUUAAAUACCAAUAUUAUUGAAAUUCAAUUAUUGGCACCCCAUGCCAAUAACUAAAAUUUGACAGUUAUGAAAAUCAGAAAAACGGCAUACCGUUUAUAAUGCAUAACAACAAUAAAAAUGUGUUGAAAACUGUAUUUUUAUAUUAAAAAAGUUCAUAGAAACCUGUAUAUGACAUUUAUAAUUGAAUAAAAUAGCUACAUAGUAAAUGAGAGCUUAAUUGCUAAGUGUAGUUAACUUCAAAAAUGGAUAAUAUUGUACCUGUUUUUGGAAAUUCUUUGGAGUGCUUGAAUCCGGUGUAAUUUAUAAAUAACGAAAAAAAGAGGUAAUCAACAAUAACUGAUUACAAAACAUCAACAGCUUGGCCAGAUAAUAAAAAAAAAGUCAUAAGGCACUCAAAAUGAACAUUAAUUAGAAAUAAAACCAAUGUUUAGUGCCAAUAACAGUAAACUUUAUCCUAUUGUAUUUUAUUAUAUGUUAAUUUGAAAAUUUAAAUAUAUUAAACAAACUACUUUCAAUCUAAUAUAUCUAGAGAA